GAUGAACGCUAGCUACAGGCUUAACACAUGCAAGUCGAGGGGCAGCGGGAUUGAAGCUUGCUUCAAUUGCCGGCGACCGGCGCACGGGUGAGUAACGCGUAUCCAACCUUCCGUACACUCAGGGAUAGCCUUUCGAAAGAAAGAUUAAUACCUGAUGGUAUGAUGAGAUUGCAUGAUAGCAUCAUUAAAGAUUUAUCGGUGUAUGAUGGGGAUGCGUUCCAUUAGGUAGUAGGCGGGGUAACGGCCCACCUAGCCGACGAUGGAUAGGGGUUCUGAGAGGAAGGUCCCCCCACAUUGGAACUGAGACACGGUCCAAACUCCUACGGGAGGCAGCAGUGAGGAAUAUUGGGUCAAUGGACGAGAGUCUGAACCAGCCAAGUAGCGUGAAGGAUGAAGGUCCUACGGAUUGUAAACUUCUUUUAUAAGGGAAUAAACCCUCCCACGUGUGGGAGCUUGUAUGUACCUUAUGAAUAAGCAUCGGCUAACUCCGUGCCAG
rnacentral:rRNA from 1 species